AGCGAUUUCAAGGAAGUUUUCGGACGGAAUUGAAAUUGACUUAGCGGCGGACGGGUGAGUAACGCGUGGGUAACCUGCCUCAUACAGGGGGAUAACAGUUGGAAACGACUGCUAAUACCGCAUAAGCACACAGUGCCGCAUGGUACGGUGUGAAAAACUCCGGUGGUAUGAGAUGGACCCGCGUCUGAUUAGGUAGUUGGUGAGGUAACGGCCCACCAAGCCGACGAUCAGUAGCCGACCUGAGAGGGUGACCGGCCACAUUGGGACUGAGACACGGCCCAAACUCCUACGGGAGGCAGCAGUGGGGAAUAUUGGACAAUGGGGGAAACCCUGAUCCAGCGACGCCGCGUGAGUGAAGAAGUAUUUCGGUAUGUAAAGCUCUAUCAGCAGGGAAGAAAAUGACGGUACCUGACUAAGAAGCCCCGGCUAACUACGUGCCAGCAGCCGCGGUAAUACGUAGGGGGCAAGCGUUAUCCGGAUUUACUGGGUGUAAAGGGAGCGUAGACGGCACUGCAAGUCUGGAGUGAAAGCCCGGGGCUCAACCCCGGGACUGCUUUGGAAACUGUGGUGCUAGAGUGCAGGAGAGGUAAGUGGAAUUCCUAGUGUAGCGGUGAAAUGCGUAGAUAUUAGGAGGAACACCAGUGGCGAAGGCGGCUUACUGGACUGUAACUGACGUUGAGGCUCGAAAGCGUGGGGAGCAAACAGGAUUAGAUACCCUGGUAGUCCACGCCGUAACGAUGAAUACUAGGUGUUGGGGAGCAAAGCUCUUCGGUGCCGCCGCUAACGC
rnacentral:rRNA from 1 species